UACGGGGGGGGCAAGCGUUGUUCGGAAUUACUGGGCGUAAAGGGCGCGUAGGCGGCUUUUCAAGUCGGGCGUGAAAUCUCCAGGCUUAACCUGGAAGGGUCGUUCGAUACUGUUAAGCUAGAGUGUGGAAGAGGCUACUGGAAUUCCGUGUGUAGCGGUGAAAUGCGUAGAUAUACGGAGGAACACCUGCGGCGAAGGCGGGUCUCUGGGCAAUUCCUGACGCUGAGGCGCGAAAGCGUGGGGAGCAAACGGG
rnacentral:rRNA from 1 species